GGCUUAGAGUUUGAUCAUGGCUCAGGAUGAACGCUAGCUACAGGCUUAACACAUGCAAGUCGAGGGGCAGCAUUUUAGUUUGCUUGCAAACUAAAGAUGGCGACCGGCGCACGGGUGAGUAACACGUAUCCAACCUGCCGAUAACUCGGGGAUAGCCUUUCGAAAGAAAGAUUAAUAUCCGAUAGUAUAUUAAAACCGCAUGGUUUUACUAUUAAAGAAUUUCGGUUAUCGAUGGGGAUGCGUUCCAUUAGUUUGUUGGCGGGGUAACGGCCCACCAAGACUACGAUGGAUAGGGGUUCUGAGAGGAAGGUCCCCCACAUUGGAACUGAGACACGGUCCAAACUCCUACGGGAGGCAGCAGUGAGGAAUAUUGGUCAAUGGACGAGAGUCUGAACCAGCCAAGUAGCGUGAAGGAUGACUGCCCUAUGGGUUGUAAACUUCUUUUAUAUGGGAAUAAAGUAUUCCACGUGUGGGAUUUUGUAUGUACCAUAUGAAUAAGGAUCGGCUAACUCCGUGCCGGCAGCCGCGGUAAUACGGAGGAUCCGAGCGUUAUCCGGAUUUAUUGGGUUUAAAGGGAGCGUAGGUGGAUUGUUAAGUCAGUUGUGAAAGUUUGCGGCUCAACCGUAAAAUUGCAGUUGAAACUGGCAGUCUUGAGUACAGUAGAGGUGGGCG
rnacentral:rRNA from 1 species